GGGAAGGUAGCUCAUUGGUAGAGUGCAUGCCUUGCAAGCAUGAGGCCCUGGGUUCGAUUCCUCAGCACCA
rnacentral:tRNA from 1 species